AGUGAACGCUGGCGGUAGGCCUAACACAUGCAAGUCGAACGGCAGCACAGUAAGAGCUUGCUCUUACGGGUGGCGAGUGGCGGACGGGUGAGGAAUACAUCGGAAUCUACUUUUUCGUGGGGGAUAACGUAGGGAAACUUACGCUAAUACCGCAUACGACCUACGGGUGAAAGCAGGGGAUCUUCGGACCUUGCGCGAUUGAAUGAGCCGAUGUCGGAUUAGCUAGUUGGCGGGGUAAAGGCCCACCAAGGCGACGAUCCGUAGCUUGUCUGAGAGGAUGGAGCUGCCCCCUGUGACUUACACCCCGUCCAGGCCCCUUCCGGGGGCCCGCAUGGGGAAUUUUGGACCAAGGGGGGAAGCCUGGACCAACCCUUCCGGCUUGGUUCAGGAAGGCCUCCGGUUGGAAAACCCCUUUUGUGGGGAAAAAAAGCAGCCAGUUUAAUCCCCGCUGUUCUGACGGUACCCAAAAGAUAAGCACCGGCUAACUUCGUG
rnacentral:rRNA from 1 species